rnacentral:misc_RNA from 1 species
CUGCGAGUUCGCGGGAGAGUAAGUUGUUGCCAGGGUUUUUAUUUUAUACUUUCAACAUUGAUUUUAUUUUUUAUGUUUUUAGAUGUUCAUGUUUUUGAAUGUUUUAUUUAAAUAAUAUAAAAAAUAAGAUAUAUAUUGACAUGGAUUAAACAAAGAUAUAUAUUAUUCUAUGUUGUAUAAACAAAUUGGCAAAAUAGAGAUGGAAGAUAAAAAUAUGGUCAAAGUAAUAAGAGUCUAUGGUGAAUGCCUAGGA